GUUCUUCAAACCCAAAUAGAGGCGUUUUUGCCCCUUCUAACGUUGAAGGUGCUGUGCGUGGAAUUUUAACUUGAACCUAAAAGGUUUAUUGUAUAGUCAAAGAGCAAUCAUUAAGAAGCACUGAAAAAGCUAUUGAAUGGUGAGCUAUUGCCGAUGGAGGUAAGACGCUUUGAGCUGAGCUGAUGCAGUUUCCCUGUGUUAUAUUUCCAAUGCCAUUAAAUUCCUGAAUUUUGUUUUAUCAUUUUAUUUUUAUCAAUAUCUAUACUAUCCCAUCGCUAUGGUGGUGUGAUGGUGAGGCGUUACUCACCGAAGCAAUGAAAAUAGUUUGGAAGAGUCCGAAGUGGCCAACAUCAUUUUAAUAGCUUCCCAUCUGUUUUAUUCUAUGUCUAUUUUUAGUUAUGAGCAGCUUCUUGCUGGUCUCUAUCUCAGGCUCUUAAAGAAGAUGAACCUGCAAUACUUUAGUUUUAGGCUUCCAAAUAUAUAGUUUGAGUUUUCAUCCCUAACUCUAUGAUUACAUUUGGCUCAGUACUUUCUUUAGUUUGUUUUACUUUCUCAUGCCUCCUAUUCUUCGUCGUUUCUGUAUCAAAUGCAAAAAGCCUCUAUCAAGGGCGUCACUGAGUAUGCAAAGUCUAUCCGCUCUUCUUGCAAGAAAUGCUCCGAGGCAAUUCCUGCGAAGUCGCUGAGAUUAGGUUCAGAUAGCAAAGAACGAGGGCAUAACGUGACAAGAAUCGGUGCAGAUGCAUGGUCCCUGAUGUUCCAAUCAAUACUAGAGAAGCUAAAUAACUUGUAGAAAGAUAGAUACAAACUGGUGAUCUUUACCAAUAAAUCCAACAUUGAGCGCCGGAAGAAUAAGAGACAGGUAGCAAUUGAUUCUAAAAUUGGACGGCUAAAAAAUUUCAUUGAUUGCGUCAAAGUCCCAAUUCAAGUCGUUUUACGUUUGCAGCUGGGAGAAAGAAUGAUCAUAGUGAUGCAGAUAUCAAAUUCGCCGAGGCUAUUGGAUUGAAGUUUUAUCUUCCUGAAGAUUUUUUUGCUGCCUGAAAGAUGUUUGGCACUUGUUUAUACCCUCUUUUUCGGAACUCCUGUCAAUCCCCAUCGCCACCAACUCUAUGUUUGUAUAGUUAGUUCAUGAUUCAAUUUUGAAUAUGAUUGCCUCCCUCCAAACUUAUGUACAAAAUGCAAUAUUAUGGACCAUCCGGAACAACAUUGUGAAGGGAGUAGACAAUGGUUAAACCCGAAUCUUCAAAAGAAGUUAGCGGAAGGGGAAGGGACUAGUUCAAGAGCUAGUAAGGGAUAUGAGGUUGGAGAAAUUGUAGAGAAGGAAAAACAGAACUCUUCUCUGCAACAAGGGGGGGGAUAACAUGAGACUGGAAGGAAGGGUAAACAAGGAAAAAAAUGCUCAAAUCAGUGGCACUCAAAUGACUGAUGGGUAUGAGAAGGUGGUAGAAAAUGCACUGAAGAUUGUGGCUGUAGGGGUAGAGGGGUCUGAGAAGUUGGAAACAAAAUCAAAAGGAAAAGAAAGCUGGGUGGAGAAGCCUGUGGAGGGAAUAUUGGCAGUUCCAAACUGGAAAAAGAUGAAGUGCAGCAAAGGGAUUGUCAUUGAUGAAACACAUUACUCAGUGCAUAGCGCAAAGAACACAACAAGCUCUCCUACACAAGGUAACAAUUCAUCAAAAUCCCUCAACAACCACACAAAUGUCCUGCAACUGAAUACAUCAAAUUGUCAGGAAAAUAUUAUUUCACCCACUAAAAUCUCAAACAAAGCCCCAAGAACCUACCAGAAAAAAUCCAUCCCAACUAAGCAGAGAGCAACAACUAAUGAAUUUUCAAGUAUGGCUUCACCUCUAGCAAAGAGGAAGCUAAACUUAAGAGAAGAUGAAUAAAUGAUUGAUUGUCAUAAAAAUCCAAUGAAUGAGAAGAAAGAUGAAGUAGUGCAUAUGCUACAUGAAGGGUCUCAAUUCCAAAUGGGGAGGGGGGAUGUAGGAAAAAGUAACAACAACUGUGAACAACCUGAUAAGCCAAAUUCAGUCAAACUAGACUCUGCAGAAAAAAAACUCUAAUUUCACCAGCCAGCACUCGAACCGGUACGAUGGACCAGCAACUGAGGAUGCAGCUAGGACGAUACAUGGUAUCAUGCAGGCAAACCCGGAUACGCUCCCCAGUCUUGGGCACCAGGAAACAUCUCCAAAGCAAGAUGCAGCAACCUUGAAGCAAGAUCAGAGGAAGAAGUAGAAGAUGCAGCAGCUUCCAUGACAAUCCAGUGGACACAUCAACUUAACCAUCCGCAGGUCGAAGUUGAAGGUGACAAUGUGAAAAUCCUUGAAGCUGUCAAGAUCCGACUAAGAAGCAGAAAAGAACAUACAGAUGACUCACCCAGGCAUAAAUAAAAACUUUAUAUUAUGCAUUAGGUACCUCAAGGAACUCAGUCUAGUUCCAAAGUCUCAAAACUUCAUGGCAAGUAAAUUAGCUGAAGCUUGUCUUGAAUAUAAACUCAAUGCGCAGUGGGAUGAAUCGAGUAUCUAACUCCUUUAAAAUACUAAGCUCAUAAGGCUUCACGUUCAACGGUGACCCUCACCAACUCACACAAUUGCUCCGUUUCACUUUUCCUCAAAGGAGAGAAAAAAGAGGAAUUCUCACACAAAUUUCGCCCACAAAACAUAAAACCAAAAAAAAACACAUAUCAAACCCUAAGAACCAGUUUUCUGUUUCGCUCAAAAAAAAAAAAAAAACCUAAGAACAAACCCUAGGAUAUGCUUUGUUCAUGGGAUAAUGAUGAUACAAAGAAAAGAAAAACAACUAGCCAGGGGACAAAGGCUUUAUCGUUUACUUCUCUGUUCUCCUUCAUCUUUUGAUUUCUCUAACAAGAACGAAGAAGUAAGGCACAUCAGGUAUGAUUGUUCAUCACAUGUUCUUAUUUUUUAUGAACACACUCUGUUUUUUAUUUUGUAAGUUAUGGUUUACUUCUUUUUUGAGUUCUUAAAUAUGGAUUUAUUUGAUUUUUAGCAUAAUCAUGAUGUAAACUCAUCCCAUCUCGCCUUAAGAAUAUGAUGGAGAAUAUCCCAAAGUAGCUACUCCUGUCGAUUAUAAUAGACGAUUUGUGUAGUUUGUUUGAUAUGAUUUUGCAGGUGUGGUUUUUGAAGAAGAGAUAAAUAAUCAAAUCCAAAUCUGUAUUGGUAAACUCUAACUCUUUUUCUGUCACUUCAUUUCUUUGAAUCAAUUAACCCUAACCCUUCCUUUUUAUAUUGCGGUAACGAUUUUUCUUUCCUCCUGUUAUUGUGCGUCAGUUGUUUGCUUCAGUUAAGGUUAUGAUUUAUUUAUGUUACCCGAAACUAAUAACAAAAACCUAAUCAGGUACGAAGAACAUUGAUCUUGAUCCAAAUAAUAUCAGUUAUGAGUAUAACCAUUUAGCUUAUGCACCAGUUUGUUUUGGAUUUUUUCCUUCCACUUAUUUUAUGCUACUAACGACAUUGCUUUGAUUUACUUUGUUUUAUUUUGCAGGUACGAUUAGUAAGAUUUUCUGGAAAAAAUACGGAUACAUAAACAACCAACUAAAACGCAAGGUGAAAACCCUAAUAGAUUUUUAUGUUUUAUAUAUCAUUACCUUCUCUUCCAUUACUAAUUUUUUUCAGAACACUUUUAGUUUCAUUCAGAUUUUACAAUUAGUCAUAUGGGUUGUCACAAAACCUUAAUUUAGAAUGGGUUAAAGUUCAUUACAGGUAUAUGCAUAACAAACUGAUGCGUUCAACUUUUUAUAGUUUUUUUGAGUUGGGCGAUUCAGCUUUUUAUGGUUGUUUUCAGUUACACCAAGCACAUCCAGAGUUGUAAGACUCAAAUAUUUUUGCUCCACUUACAUUCUUCUCCUUAGGUAACAGUUGCUGAUGGCUUUCUUCUUAGGUGAUAAUACAUUAAUAAGAUUCGGGUUCUUACUCCAAAGGUAUAAGGUUUUACUUUUUAAAGCUACCUGUGAGAAUAUUUGUACUACGAAAUGUAUAGCAAAAGAAUACUUAUGAGACAGAUACCUCAAAAUUAUGCUUUGCUUCUUUUCGUAAUUUGUUGUUUUUUCAGAAACAAAAUAAAGACAGAGAAGCCGGUUGUUGCAUGCAGAGUGAGACAUUUUUAUGAUGAUUGAUGUUUCUGGCUUUCUAACUUAUUAAUGUACAUUACUCCCUUUUUGUAGGUCACUAAAGGUCAAAUUUCAUUUUGCACCCUAAUCCUUUUUCACUCUUCUUCUUUCUCAACCAUUUAAUGGUUUUUUGUUUUGUUGGUUAUGGUGAGUCUGUUUUUCAUGAGUAAAAUCAGUCUUCCUUUAUCAUUUUCAUCAAUUUCUUUUUUUAGUUCUAUACAUUUGAAAAGAUAAGGGUUUUCUGUUUAUUUGGUGAUGCUAAGUUUGUUUUUCAUCUCAUUUUACAUGUGAAGCUUUUUUUUAAUAUUGGUUUCACUUGCUUUCAUCCCAAUAUAUAUGGUUUAAGAUCAGAAGUAAUUAUGUAUGACCCUAUGAGACGAUAAAGGUUAUGAUUUGUAAAGUUAAAUUUCUAUUAAUGUGAUAAAGUAUUUUAAUUUCUUAUUUUGGAGCUCACUUCAGACGGAUUUUUCAUCCAUGUUGGAAAUGUGGAUAUCAAACUGUUGGCAAUUACAAACGAAAUUAAUCAAUUAUUUAUGCUUCCUUUAUUUUACACACAGUAAGUGUUAGUAGAAGUUUGUGUUCUUAAUAGGAAUAUAGACUUGAUGGAAAUGAAUUUAGUUUUGCAGUUUCUUUGUUACACGGGUUUUGUGAUGCAGAAGAUGAUAAAAAUCCUGAUAAAUUUUGUUUGUUGUAUAAUAAUUAAGUAGACUGAACAAGCCUGUUUGAAAUAUUGGAAGUCUUUAGUCUUCGAGCUGCUAGAGGCACAUAAUGCUUUGGAUAUGGUUCUUUAGUUAUGGCCUCUAAAGUAGUUAUUUAAACAAAUUUCCGAGGAGAUAGAUCCGGUGCUUAAAAUAUGUGUGUAUAAUAUUUUCAAGUUUUAGUGUGACACUUAUAAUCUGAUGUCUUAAUGGUUCAAUUUUUCCUGAUUCUACAUAUGCCAAUGCAUUCUAGCCAUGGCAGUGUUGAUGGUUUGGGAUCUCAAUGGUACGAAGACGUCAACUCUAUACAGCCAAAGUUUUAUCAUAGGAAUUACGACACUGCCUUUCAAGCACUCUACAGAUAGAAUAGAGCUCCAGCUUGCAAAAUUAACCAUUUAAGUUGAACCUAUACGGUAACCACUAUUGCCUACAGAUCAGCAAUGCCUGCAUAUGCUUUGAAAAAACUACAAGCUUUCAUAGACGAAUAUUGGUACUAUAUGGGAUAACCCUCUUGCAGCCAGGGACUCUUCGGGACAGCAAGUCUUCCUUGGUAUCUUAAGUAUCACAUUGAUUGCGUGAUGAAACCAAGAGGGUGCAUAUCUCACGGCUUGAGAGUUUUGGAAUUCUGAAGUCAAUAGUUGGUGUUUUUUAUUCUCCGACUCUUUUCUCAGCUCUGUCUAUUCAGAUUUUAUAGUGCAUUUUCGAAUACAUUCGCUUCUUUCUGUGAUUCUUCUUCCAAAAAUAUACUCCAUCCAUAAAGUAUAGGUAUUACCGUGACAUUGUAAUACUGGUUGUUGCUAUGUUUUGAUCAUCCAAGGUUGUUUAUAAUUUAAUAUUAAAAAAAGGAUUUGUUCAAUGAUUCUGGCUCAAUGGAUUUGCUGGAUUUCAGUUGCUUUCAUUUUUCUUUGAUAAAAUUACUGAUUCAUUUGUUGUU